UCGUAACAAGGUUUCCGUAGGUGAACCUGCGGAAGGAUCAUUACCUAGAGUUUGUGGACUUCGGUCUGCUACCUCUUACCCAUGUCUUUUGAGUACCUUCGUUUCCUCGGCGGGUCCGCCCGCCGGUUGGACAACAUUCAAACCCUUUGCAGUUGCAAUCAGCGUCUGAAAAAACUUAAUAGUUACAACUUUCAACAACGGAUCUCUUGGUUCUGGCAUCGAUGAAGAACGCAGCGAAAUGCGAUAAGUAGUGUGAAUUGCAGAAUUCAGUGAAUCAUCGAAUCUUUGAACGCACAUUGCGCCCCUUGGUAUUCCAUGGGGCAUGCCUGUUCGAGCGUCAUUUGUACCUUCAAGCUCUGCUUGGUGUUGGGUGUUUUGUCUCGCCUCCGCGCGCAGACUCGCCUUAAAACAAUUGGCAGCCGGCGUAUUGAUUUCGGAGCGCAGUACAUCUCGCGCUUUGCACUCAUAACGACGACGUCCAAAAGUACAUUUUUACACUCUUGACCUCGGAUCAGGUAGGGAUACCCGCUGAACUUAAGCAUAUC
rnacentral:misc_RNA from 1 species